GGCAGGCCGAGAACCGAGGCCCGGGGGCAGUCAAGCUACCACUAAUAAAUGAGAUUAAGGUUGGCAGUGGUGGAGAGACGGACACCGUGUGGUUUUGCAGGCAAACCUAGCCACAUUUUUAAAGGAAGCAAAGACAUCUGGUGUGCGUGUGGGAGGUGCCCCGUGAAACUUGGAAGCAUUGCAGAGGUGAAUAGGGACAGAAUGGGAGCUGCCAAGUGCAUGGAGUGCUGCUGCUCUGCUUCUGCCUCUUAAGCAGUUACAGAGUGCUCUUGGAUUUCCAUCAUUUGCUUCUACCUCUCUUGUUGGAAUAAGGAUUUAAGAAAAAGGACAGGAUUGUGAGUCAUGGAAAUCACUGAUGUUGAGUUUCCAGAAAGUGCUUUCCGACCUUCCGUCUGAGUCUUGCUCCACCACAGUGAAGAGCACAGGACCUCACACACUAUAUGUGCCUGGUUUAUUUUGGAGGGAAGUAUAUUCCAUAAUCACAAUAAUACAAUGCUUUCAUAUUUCCUUCUGGUGCUGGCUUUACAUUCACAUGGCUUCGUUCAUUUUUCUCUAUGAGAGAGGU